UUUUCCUUUCCAUCCAAUCAGAUAUGCAACUACUCCAAAGAGGCAUUUCCCCAUUCUUCACUCCCAUUUCUUGAUUUUUUUUUCUUCACGCCAACAAACCCUUAAAAAAGGUGGUUUGUUUUGAACAGGGUGUUGCGUAUGAGCUGAGGUGAGGAACAUGACAAUGAUCAUUACAAAACAAUACCGAUGCAUACACUCUGCAAGCUGUAUAUGCACAAAAGGCCAUUUAAGUGAAGACGUAAUCUUCCUACUUCUCCAACAUCUAAAUUGGAACCCUAAAAUAAUCGCCACUCUCUCAUGCGUAUGCAAAUGGUUUGACGAUCUUGUGAAAAGAGUACUCUGGAAAGAAUUUUGCAGAACGCGGGCCCCCAAAAUGAUGCAUGAUCUUCAAUCAAGUGGGUCCCACAGUGUCGAUGGCAACUGGAGUGCACUCGGGAAGCUUCUAAUCUAUUGUUCUGGAUGCAAAAAAGACGGCUUAUUCAACAAAAUCCAAAUCCCUGGACAUUUUGCACAUCGUACUAGGUUUUCAAGAACUUCUGGAAAGAGUUUUUUGUUGCCAAAUUGUAGGACGGAUGUUUUGUAUGUUUCCGACCCAUGUGAGCAUUUGGAUCAAGGAGAAGAAGGGGAUGUGGGGUUUUUCCGAGGGGUAUUUAAGUCAUUUGCCACUUCGAAAGUAAGGAAGAUGCUAAUUAGAAGAGGGGCGAAGUUUCAUGAGAGUGAAUUUUGUCCUUAUUGUAAAGCGAAAUUGUGGAGUAUGUUGCAAGCUAAAAUGAUUCCUCAAAGUGCAAGUUGUAGAUUGGGGGCGUAUGAAGAUUGUAUUGAGUAUUUUGUGUGUUUGAAUGGACAUGUUCUUGGUGUUUGUACGCUUUUGCCCUUGUCGGAUUCUGAAGAGGUGUCGGAAUUGGAUUGAUGGAGAAGGGCAGAAUCGUCCGGUUACCAGGGGUGUUUGGAAUUUGGAUGUGCGUUUUGAAGUUUUCAAAGUGAUUAUUGAAGACUUCAAGAAUCAGAAUAAGGUUUACGAGUGUAAGAUGGGGGAGAUUGGUUGGAAAUGCACAAAUUGGCUGCCUUUUUGACUUGUUUUUUCGGUCCAAGCUGCAAUCUUUUAUUGUGAUAUAUUUUUAUUAGACGCAUACUUGUUUCUUAAACUAUUGUAUUGAUGGUAGAUGGAUUCAAAAAGAUGUUUAAUGUCAUUAUGUACAUGCGGUGUUUUUUUUAUGUGUAUUUGGAAGCAAAAUGCAGAUGGAUUUAACA